rnacentral:rRNA from 1 species
UAGGGAAUUUUCCACAAUGGGCGAAAGCCUGAUGGAGCAACACCGCGUGCAGGAUGAAGGCUUUCGGGUCGUAAACUGCUUUUAUUUGUGACGAAUCUGACUGUAGCAAAUGAAUAAGGAUCGGCUAACUACGUGCCAGCAGCCGCGGUCAUACGUAGGAUCCAAGCAUUAUCCGGAAUUACUGGGCGUAAAGAGUUGCGUAGGUGGCAUUGUAAGCAGGGCAUGAAAUCGUGUGGCUCAACCAUACGGCUAUGUUCUGAACUGCAAAGCUAGAGAGCGAGAGGGGUAGAUGGAAUUACUAGUGUAGGAGUGAAAUCCGUAGAUAUUAGUAGGAACACCGAUAGCGUAGGCAGUCUACUGGCUCGUCUCUGACACUCAGGCACGAAAGCGUGGGGAGCGAACAGG